AACGAACGCUGGCGGCAUGCCUAACACAUGCAAGUCGAACGAGAUCUUCGGGUCUAGUGGCGCACGGGUGCGUAACGCGUGGGAAUCUGCCCUCAGGUUCGGAAUAACCAUUGGAAACGAUGGCUAAUACCGGAUGAUGACGUUAAGUCCAAAGAUUUAUCGCCUGAGGAUGAGCCCGCGUAGGAUUAGCUAGUUGGUGUGGUAAAGGCGCACCAAGGCGACGAUCCUUAGCUGGUCUGAGAGGAUGAUCAGCCACACUGGGACUGAGACACGGCCCAGACUCCUACAGGAGGCAGCAGUGGGGAAUAUUGGACAAUGGGCGAAAGCCUGAUCCAGCAAUGCCGCGUGAGUGAUGAAGGCCUUAGGGUUGUAAAGCUCUUUUACCCGGGAUGAUAAUGACAGUACCGGGAGAAUAAGCUCCGGCUAACUCCGU
rnacentral:rRNA from 1 species